GCUUGAAUAGUUUAUAAAGAAUGAUAAUUUGUGGUGUUAUUGGAGUAAAAUUUACUUUAGGCCC
rnacentral:tRNA from 1 species